rnacentral:rRNA from 1 species
AUACGGAGGGGGCUAGCGUUGUUCGGAAUUACUGGGCGUAAAGCGCGCGUAGGCGGAUCGUUAAGUCAGGGGUGAAAGCCCGGAGCUCAACUCCGGAACUGCCCUUGAUACUGGCGAUCUCGAGUCCGCGAGAGGUGAGCGGAAUUCCUAGUGUAGAGGUGAAAUUCGUAGAUAUUAGGAGGAACACCAGUGGCGAAGGCGGCUCACUGGCCCGGUACUGACGCUGAGGUGCGAAAGCGUGGGGAGCAAACAGAAUUAGAUACCCUAGUAGUCC